GAUUUGGGAAGCUGCUGGUCAUUAUCACCAGAAAUUGGGCCUUGGCUUUCCUGUUUGUUUUUGGAAGGGUGCCCUUCAGCCAAGUUAAGUUUACAGUGGAGGACAGAUCCUGAAGCUGAGGCUCCAAUACUUUGGCCAUCUCAUGAGAAGAGAAGACUCCCUGGAAAAGAUGCUGAUGUUGGGAAAGUGCGAAGGCAGGAGGAGAAGGGGAUGACAAAGGAUGAGAUGGCUGGACAGUGUCAUUGAAGCGACCAACAUGAAUUUGACCAACCUCUGGGAGGCAGUGGAAGACAGGAGGGCCUGGCGUGCUCUGGUCCAUGAGGUCACGAAGAGUCAGACACGACUAAACGACGACGACAGACAUACUAUCUUGUUCAGGUGUAGAUCUUCUUUUAAAGAACAGCAAGGUCAACCCAGAAUCUGCCUGGAAUUGCAGUUUUUAAAAUAUUCUUACAAUAACCUGAGCCAGAAACGAAGACUACUUUCACCAAUUGCCAAAAAAUAAAAUAAAGAGCCAUCUGUUCUUGUAUUGCAUAACGAUCCCUUCUCAAACACAAGGAAUGACUCUCUGCAGUGAAAGCCACUAGAAAAGAAAUCAUUUGUUAAAAGAAAUCACAACAGACCAGCAGGAUUCCUCACUUUUAAUAUUUAAAAAGCAUUCCCUCGUCACAUCAGUAUUUUUAAGGAUCAUCUCUAAUUUGCAAGCAUCCCGUGAUGUAACCUUCAGUCAAACCGUAUACCAAACUACUGUGGGCUCCAGCCCAUCGUAUCUUCAUCCUAGAGAGAAUCAGGAUAACGUCCGGGUCUGAUGUAAAAGACAACCUAAGGAAUCAUCAGGGGAACUACCAGAAAAUCAUUUGGACCUUUCACAGGGCAGGGCACGUAAUUAAAAAGCAACAGGAAUGAGUUCUUAUUGCCUUUAUUCUUUUUCAGCUGUAAAAAAGCAGGGGUGGGGUGUGUGUGCAGGUUCACAACCCAAAGUUUAUUUCUAAAUGAAUCCGAGUAGUGCUUUGGGUUGGGGGAACAUUCAGGUGCCUGAAAUCUUUUGGACAGUAUUUUCCUCACACCAGCUGGUAGGAAUAAAUGCUUUAGCACCUGCA
rnacentral:lncRNA from 1 species